CAAAGGACAUGAAAGGCCCAACACAUCCUCAAAAGCCUGGGCAGAAAUACACUCCGAAAUCACUACUUUCUUUAUUUUGAAAGUAGUGGUUCCAAUAAGAGCCAAGGUGUCGAGGGCACGAACAAUAUGCAGAUCCUCCUGCUUCGGGCAAAGCCACCCCUUUGAUGGGCUCCCAGCCAAGCGCAGGGGGACCUCAGUGUAGGCACAGGCCUAAGCCAGCAGCCCGGCCCAGCCCUCCCACAGCACCGGCUCCACACAUGGCUCUGUCCUCUGAUGCAGGCACGCACGGUUUGCUGAGUGCGGAAGUCUGCAGCCGGGUCCUUGCCCAACCUUACCCGCCUGCCCCCCAUGGUCCUCAGUAGAGUCCUGGAGCUCCCGCCAGGCUGGAAAGUCCUGGGACGCACCCCAUAUGGUAGGAUUAGAGCUGCAGUAGAAAUUUUGGGGAAUUCUGACCCCAAACGUGUGCUUUGCCGUUGUCCAAGCUCCUGUCUCCAGGUCCCUUCCAUCUUUAAUCCUUUAAUGGAGACACUCUGACUGUGUCCACGCACUCAUUAACACAUGUUUAAAUAAUUAUGGUAAAAUCCGCAUUUUAUGCAUCCUUAAGCACC